GACGAACGCUGGCGGCGUGCUUAACACAUGCAAGUCGAACGGUGAAGCGCCUUCCUUUUUGGUGGGUGGGGAGGAGUGGCGGACGGGUUAGUAACACGUGAGUAACCUGCUCCCUUCUUCUGGAUAGCCGCAUGAAAGUGUUGCUAAUACGGGAUAUUCUGGGUCUGUCGCAUGAUGGGUCUGGGACAGAUAUUGUUUCGGUUGGGGAUGGGCUCGCGGCCUAUCAGCUUGUUGGUGGGGUGAUGGCCUACCAAGGCGGCGACGCGUAGCCGGCCUGAGAGGGUGCGCGGUCACAGUGGGUGAGAGACGCUGCAGAGACCUACAGGAGGGGCAAGAGUGGAGAAUACUGCACUAGGCGCGAACGUGUGGGGCAGCGACGGCGCGUGAGGGAUGGGGGCUCGCGUCUUGUGACCCUCUUUCGAGGGUGAAGCAGGUGUGUAACGUUUGAGGGAGGGUUGACCGUAGCUUGAUAAGAAGCGCCGGCUAAAUAAGUGC
rnacentral:rRNA from 1 species